rnacentral:rRNA from 1 species
GAUGAACGCUGGCGGCGUGCUUAACACAUGCAAGUCGAACGAUGAAGCCCAGCUUGCUGGGUGGAUUAGUGGCGAACGGGUGAGUAACACGUGAGUAACCUGCCCUUAACUCUGGGUUAAGCCUGGGAAACUGGGUCUAAUACCGGUUAGGAGCGUCCACCGCAGGGUGGGUGUUGGAAAGAUUUAUCGGUUUUGGAUGGACUCGCGGCCUAUCAGCUUGUUGGUGGAGUAAUGGCUCACCAAGGCGACGACGGGUAGCCGGCCUGAGAGGGUGACCGGGCACACUGGGACUGCGACACGGCCCAGACUCCUACGGGAGGCAGCAGUGGGGAAUAUUGCACAAUGGGCGCAAGCCUGAUGCAGAGACGCCGCGUGAGGGAUGACGGCCUUCGGGUUGUAAACCUCUGUCAGUAGGGAAGAAGCGAAAGUGACGGUACCUGCAGAAGAAGCACCGGCUAACUACGUG